rnacentral:rRNA from 1 species
CCUACGGGUGGCAGCAGUGGGGAAUAUUGGGCAAUGGGCGCAAGCCUGACCCAGCAACGCCGCGUGAAGGAAGAAGGCCUUCGGGUUGUAAACUUCUUUUGUCAGGGACGCAGAAAGUGACGGUACCUGACGAAUAAGCCACGGCUAACUACGUGCCAGCAGCCGCGGUAAUACGUAGGGGGCAAGCGUUAUCCGGAUUUACUGGGGGUAAAGGGCGUGUAGGCGGGAGAGCAAGUCCGACGUGAAAUUCCAGGGCUCAACCCUGGAACUGCGUUUGAAACUGUUCUUCUUGAGUGAUGGAGAGGCAGGCGGAAUUCGGUGUGUAGCGGUGAAAUGCGUAGAUAGACGGAGGAACACCAGUGGCGAAGGCGGCCUGCUGGACAUUAACUGACGCUGAGGCGCGAAAGCGUGGGGAGCAAACAGGAUUAGAUACCCUGGUAGUC